AUCCAGUUGACUAGUCCCAAAUAGAACGAAAUGCGUGUCAAACUGGAU
rfam:Schistosoma haematobium scaffold545_28, whole genome shotgun sequence.